UUUUUUUAAAAAUAAUUAGUUGAGAUAUAAAUGACGUGGUGUAACUAUUAGACGGAGAACUUCCUUUUAUGGUGGGAGGAAUUCUAAUAUGUUGCAGUUAUACUACUGUAUUUACAAUCAGCCAAUUAUAUAUCUGUUUUGAAAGAAAAGUAUAAAAUACUAUGUUUGGGAUGGAUAGAUUAAGAGAGAGUAAUUUGAUAAACGAGAAAUUCGAUAAUCAGUCAGUCAUACGUAACUAAUAUGACCGCUGCAUUUUUAUUUUUUUUUCCAGCGUGGACUUGCAUGUGUUAGCUUCCGUAACCCAACGUGACCUGAAGAAGGAAUUCUACACUGUCACACUUGCACCACGUCAUCAAUAACAAGCCAAUCACAUUUCUUCUUUUCAAACAAAGAUACAAAAUUUUUUUUAUUUUGUAAUCAUGAUGGGACAUAUAUUUCUGAAAAAAGAUAUUUGAUUGAUUUGUUAUGCCACGUCACUAAUAUACGGCAUUUUAGAAUUUUUCCACUUGGAGACCCUGUACAUGCAU
rnacentral:lncRNA from 1 species